rnacentral:rRNA from 1 species
CAGUCGCCGCGUGAAUACGAAGGGUGCAAGCGUUAAUCGGAAUUACUGGGCGUAAAGCGUGCGUAGGCGGUUUGUUAAGUCUGUUGUGAAAUCCCCGGGCUCAACCUGGGAAUGGCAAUGGAUACUGGCAAGCUAGAGUGUGUCAGAGGAUGGUGGAAUUCCCGGUGUAGCGGUGAAAUGCGUAGAGAUCGGGAGGAACAUCAGUGGCGAAGGCGGCCAUCUGGGACAACACUGACGCUGAGGCACGAAAGCGUGGGGAGCAAACAGGAUUAGAUACCCGUGUAGUCUCUGUCUCUUAUAC